GACGAACGCUGGCGGCGUGCCUAAUACAUGCAAGUCGAACGCAGUGGGGACGGGUGAGUAACACGUGGGUAACCUCCCAUCAGAGGGGAUAACACUUGGAAACAGGUGCUAAACCGAUACUGAUGGAUGGACCCGCGGUGCAUUAGUUAGUUGGUGCGGUAACGGCUCACCAAGGACACGAUGCAUAGCGAACUUGGGAGGGUGAUCGGCAAGACUUGGUUGUAAAUACGGCCCAGACUGCGACGGGAGGCAGCAGGAUGGCACCUUCGGCAAUGGAGCAAAGGGUGACCGAGGCACGCUGCGUCAGUGAAGAAGGCUUGCGGGUCGUAAAUCGCGGUGUUGCGCGAAGCGGUAUCCAACGAGAUAGCCACGGGUAACUACGUGCCAGCAGCCGCGGUAAUUC
rnacentral:rRNA from 1 species